ensembl:lncRNA uncharacterized LOC107680645
GUGCAGCUAUAAUAAAAAAAUAAAAUUACUUAAUUAAUUAAUUAAUAAAGUGUGAGCGAGAGAAAGCCAGCCACUAUGGAGAUGUUAGAGUUAGUUCGGCGCGGUCAUUUGCACAAACCGGCAGAGCUCCACGAGUUUGUAGUGAUGCACGUGCGACCCUUCUUUAAACCCAGUGAUCUCGACACAAACAGGGGAGACAAAAUUGGAUAAGCGACAGUGGUUGUUGUAUUUUCUCAUGUCAUAACGACAAACGGUCAGAAGUUAGUUUUUAUUCGCUAAGACUGUUUUGACUGUUAUCAAGCACGGAACGUUUGUAGUCGCUUAAACACAAUUAGAUAUUUAUCUGUUUUUAAUUUCCAUGCGAGUGCAUGAAAAGUAAAUCAUGUUAACAACUGUUUGCACAUCUCCCAUGUGAACAGCGUGCACGGUCCCGACCCUAGUUGUCUAACAUGUUGACGUUCGAGACGCUUCUCGUAAAAGAGCUGCAAAAACAGCAGAGCAGGGCAGAGUUCUGUGACAUUGUGCUGCAGACUCGAGGUGUGUCUGUGCCGGUGCACAGCUGUGUGUUGUCUGCCUUCAGUCCUUGGCUCUGUGGGGCUCUGUCAGCCAUGCCAUCACUCCGGAACGGGCAGAGGAGACUGAUUGAAGUCCAAGCCUUGGAGGCCUGUACGUUGCUCAGUCUGGUCAGUCUGCUGUACUCCGGUCAGUUGAACGAGGACAAAGAGGAAGUCCUCUCAGCAGCCUGUAAACUCGGCAUUGACAUACCUCAGCAAGUAUCAAAGAGGCCGGCAACUGAGCGAAACACACAGACGGAGUGCAUGAAAGAGAUGGCAGAGAGAGAGUGUCAAACCGAGGCUGUUCCUUCUGAAUGUCAAAACCCCAAAGAGAUCAUUGAAAGUGUUCAUCUGAUCGGGACGUCGUCAUGGAGGACCGAUCAGGGGCUCUGCACGUACACCGAUGGCUCUGAUAUCACCCUGGCCACACUUCAAAACAUCCAGGGUAAUCCAGAGAACAUGCCUUCCUUUCAAGUCAUGGAUGUGGUCCCUGAAAAUGCAGUGUAUCCCACAGUGAGUGGACCGGCCAGCUUGCCCCAGGUCUACGAUACAGCUCCACCUCAAAGAAGGCGUAGAGGUCGCCCCCGCAAACGUCCCUUGCCCAAACCAGAUGUUUCCCAAAAUUUCAGUGGAAUUUCACCACCUGAUCAGAAAACCUUGAACCCUCCAGCUCUAUCCAUGUUGCAUACCGCAGCUCUCCCAGCAGCCAAUCAGACCAGCCUCACUCAGCCAAUGGACUGGCUUAUAGAUGACGUCAUUGCGCAGCUCCCAUUUAUGCCCAGCAAUCAAAAUGGAAUAACUGUAGAUUCCAACAUGGAUCAUACAAGAACACAGUCCUCAGUUAAGCUCACAGAUCUGGGUAUAAUCCAACCACAGUCUGAAGGUGAGCUGACCGACAUACUUGAUAGUUUUCUGAGAACGUUUGAGCAACACGUUGGUGUAUGCGAUUCAGACGUCCAAGAUGGGAUGGUGCCCAACAUAACAGAUGGAACCCGGACCUGUGGACAGACUUACACAGUCCACACAAAUGCACAUGCCACUUCUGUGAACACAACAACACAGGGAUCAAAAGCCUCAUUAUCCAAGAACAGACCACGAGUAUCAUCUGCACGUAGACCGCAGAAACCAUCACGUUUUUGGCAGGUGUCAGGUGUGAAAAUGGAGAAAUCAACAGGACAGCAGAGUGAACAGAAGCCUAAAUCUGGCAGGAUGACCAGGAGCCAGAGUAGGAAGAGGAAGCUGGAUGUUAUUGAAGAACUGCCUAGGAGAGACGAGCUCCCAACCAAACGGAAGAGAAAAAGAAAAGAAGAACAAACAGAGAAGACGAAGGUAGACGCUUCUCUACUAAAGGAGAAAAAGAGAAAGAAAAAAACUAGCAGGCUGCAUAGUGAAGAAAAGUGCACCGGUAGCACAGCUGACUCAAGCUGCAGUGUUGCAAGUACAUUAAGCAAAGUCAUAAACGCAGCUAGUGGCCAAAACGUGAAGUGUGUCACACAAACAACAAAGGCUUUGGAUCGGUCAAAAUCCUCAGAGCUGCAUGCUCACAAAGUGUCCAGUCUUGUAAAAGAGAAACAAGUGGGACAUGCUAAAAGAGACACAAGCGAGACUCUUCUAGAAGGAAGUACGUUAAAGGUGCAGUGCAGUACAGGGAGUUCACAACCCAAGCUAUCAGCCACAAAGAAUAAAUCCACUGGGUCCCGUCCAGCUCUUUCUGCUUUUGAGUUAAUGAAAAAGAUCUUGGAGAAUCACCAGAAGAGAGAGGAAGAGCACAAGGGAAAAGACAACAGAAUGUGGACUGUGAAAAGACAGAAAGGAAAGGAAAGGCUGACAAAUGCGCAUGUGCGUGGAGCUGAGGUGAAAAUGACUGAGAAUAAAGAGAAGAAUGCUAGAAUCAGGGUUGAAGGGCACAAUAAAAGCAGAAUAAACCAAAAAGAUAAGGAAAGAAGUGGGAGAAUAAAAGAGGCUGGCAACCAGAAGAACAUUUUUCUUCAGCAGAAUCUGCCAUCAGCUAAUGGUUGCAGCAUGUCAAAAGUAGAGAGACUGAUGGAGGAUGACUACAGCAAGCCAAGAUCUGAGACUGCUGACUCUCUCAAUGAUUCUCCUUUGCAAAGAUGCAGCACAGAAGGCAUCGUGCUUAAAAACACAGCAGACAAGUCUUUUGUCUCACAUGCACAAGAGCCCACCACACCUCUUGAGAAACUCGGAAACCCACAAGGGUCAAUAGCCAUUUCAGAAGAGGAUGAGGAUGUUGAUGUUGUGGAGGUCUCUAGUUCUUUGUCCGAGUCCUUCUCUGUGCCGCCAAUCACUGCAGAUAUUGUGCUCAGCACAGAGGACAGUGAUGAAGAUGACGAGAUUGAUGUGAUAAGUUUAGGAUCUAAUUAAGUGUGUAGCAAUUUCUGUUACUGUUUAUUACUGUUUAGCUUCAGAGUUCUGAAUAAAUGUGUGUUGGUGCUUAUUUGAAACACUAUUUCAAAUGAUCAGAGACUUAGAACAUGGUACCUUUUCCCUGUGUAUAAUUCAAUACAUAGUUCACACAAGGUGACACUUAGCAGUAUUUGCUCUUUCGACUUUGGUGGCUUCAGUUUCAGGCAUCAGAAAUUUUUAUAGAUUUGAGUUCUGAAUGUUAAAGUUUAUUUUGUGUCACAAUGAUUGGGACUGCUAUUAAUGCAUGCUGAGUUUUCUUGUCAUUUGCCGUAUUUUGUAGCCAUGUUCAGAAUUAAAAGACAUGGAUCCAGCCUUGGUUGUUCUUGUGUUCAAAUACGGGUUUCCACAUGUUCAAAGGGUGGCCGGC